GAAUAACUCACUGUCAUAAUAACACCAUUAAGAAUGUAAAAAAGAGGUUGUCAAUAUAUUGCAAAACUGGACAUAUGAUCAAUCAAAUUUCUAGAAAUCAGGAUGACCUGGUUUAUCAAUUGAUCCUUCAAGAAAAGGUGGAGGAUUUUGAGGCCGAAAAGCUGCCACUAAUAUCAUCAAGAGAAGAACAAGAGCUCCAAGCGCUAUUCCCAGUAUUGCCGCUUUGGAAAUUGUAAC
rnacentral:lncRNA from 1 species